GAAAUUUUACAGUGCAUAUUUUCAAGUAUAGCAGAUUAGACGUAAAAGAUCAAUGAUUUAUAUUGAGAAUUUUUUGAAAAAACUAAAGGAAAAUCUGCUGUUAGGAAGUGUCAAAGAUGUCAUAAAAAUUUCAUAGAAAUUUGGAUAGAAAAAGCACAGUAGCAAGAUCAAACAGAUGGUACUAUGCGGUUGGAAUUCUACAAUAUAUCUUUCGUCGUAGAGAUGAAAACUUUGUGACGAAAGG
rnacentral:lncRNA from 1 species